rfam:Stylonychia lemnae strain 130c genome assembly, contig: Contig11499
GAACAGGCAUUUUUAAAUGCUACAAACUUAACAAUAAAGGAUAUC